GCAGGCCCGAGCUACUCAGGAGAGAGGGUCUGUCGCUUUUAAAACGCAUUAAAGGCUCUCUCCUGGCCUUAUUUAACUUGCCUAAGCUAGGUGGAGCACGGCUGAGCUCAGGUAAGCUAGCAGCUUUCCAGCAGAAGGUGUUCUCCCGAAGAACGCAGACCUGGGGAAGGGUUGACUUUUUGGGGGCCCCUGCUGAGAACAGUUCAAGAGCUCCCUAACUGUAGAGGCUGCUGGAGGGGCGAGGGGCAGAACCCCGGGCUGAAUCAUCUCCCGCUUUCCCGGGACUUUGCUUUCACUUUCCUCAGUCUUGUGGACAGAGUCAAGUAGAUUUUCAAAAGUGCUCCAGAAAGGCCGGAAUAGUCAUGUAGUGGAUGAAAAGGGCAGUCACAAAACUGCUUAAGACCAGCUGUCUUGCCAGUAAUUGCAGUGCUUUAAGAUUUAAUUAAAAAGCCGCC
rnacentral:lncRNA from 1 species